ACAUGACGUGUGGCUGUCGUAAAAACCCUAUUUGUAAACAACCAGCCCUUUAACUCGGGGCUGCGUCAUAAACACGGCGCGCUUGGAAGACCACGAUGUCAUCUUCCUUCUGUCAGGAGGAUCCAAGUGAAGCUACAGGAGUUUCAUUAACGUCAACAACUUGGACCAAACAGUUUGUUUUGCUUGAUGAAGAGCAGGAAGGGCAGCCUGGAGAGAAAGAGAAGCCGGGUUGAGCCCACUACCAUCAUCCAUGUACCACGAGGAAGAUGAGGGAGAGAAAUGAUCCUACCAUUAAAGAGACUGUGAAAAGAACGUUGAGAACAUCACCACUCUACAGGAAGACACAGUCCAGUAAUGGGUGUCAGAAGUUCAGUAGUGAACGACAGAAACAAACAAUCCAAAUUACCUGCAGAAAGCCCUUGAUGGACGCUUCAGCUGCAUCGUCAGACUGGCAGUACUGAUGCAUUUACUGAGAGGGGACGUGAGGGCCUACUCUGCGUGCUCAGAGUUCAAGCCCAGCAGGCUGCAGCGGGCCUGACAUAUUCUGGAACAGCAGCACAGUCUUUGGAUGACUCCUCUGAAGAUGAAAACAUGGCGAGUUCUUCUCAAGAGAAGCAGUACAGGUGUGCCUCAGCUCCACGGUCCCUCCUGCAGCCUCCGCUCCUGAUGCUAACCUCAUGUCUCCAUCACACCAAGCAGCAGACCUGGAUUGACAGACCUUUCUCCAGAGCUGCCCCCUCCCUCUGAAACCCCCCUCUCCAAAACACUAUUUGUGUAGUUUUUAAAGUAUUUUUUGCAUGAGAAUUGUUGAUCAUAACAUUUCCAGCAGAUGCCUUAAUAUAAUGUUUGUGCACAAUAAAUGACAUUGAUCAUAACAUAA